AAAAAACUCGAUUUUGAGGCCCAGGUAAAUUUGACAAGGUCAUUACAAGACAUUAAAAGACCACAAGAAUAAUUUUCAAAAGAAAAUCUCAACAAUUAUGGAGAACUUAUCGGAUUGAAGCAAAACACUUUGGUUGGCAUAGACAUUACUAAAAUGAGACCAUGAAAUAAAACAAGAGUCAAUUUCUAGGCUCGGGUGAGGUUUGUACCCAGUUGGUCUAGAAGCGAAGGCUAUAACAUACAGUUCUAGGCCUUUUUACAUGCACAUUGAGAUUGACUAGACAGAAGCAAAGGUGCAAACAAAGUGGAUUAUGAGCUCAAAUGAGAUUCUACAUCCAUUUAAGCCUAGAACCCAAGGCUAUAACACGAUUCCAAGUCAAUUUAGAAUCGUAUUUUUCAAUAAAAUCAUAGGUUAUAGUACAUGGUUCUGGGUCGGUUUAGCGAUUUAUUUGCUGCUGAAUAGGAAAGAGAUUGAAUUUUGAAUUUAUUUUUUACAUGCAUGUAGACAUUGGCAAGAAAAGACCAGAGGCUCAAAUCGUAGUCAAUACUAUGGCCUAGAUGAGGUUUUCCAAGGUUGUUAUGAGACAUUAUGAGUCUAUAGGAACAAUUUGCGUAUAACUUUUGAAAAAGUUCCCAAAAAUUAUAGAUAACUUGUUAGAUGGACAUGAAUCUCUUUAAGAGCUAUAAAAAUUGGCAAGACAAGAUUGGUAAGAUGAGAAAACAAGACAGAAGUCGAUUUCGAGGCCUACGUAAGUUUUUGGGACCAAUAAGGCCAUAAAACACAUUUUUGGCCCCUUUUAGGGGCAUGUUUAUCAUUGAAGGUGGUUGAGUUGAAUUUCAAGCCCAUCUUUUAAAUGCAUAUAGACACUGGCAAGAGAUAAGAUUAGAUGAAAGUCCAUCGUAAGGCCAGUGAGGUUUUAUGAGAUCGUUACGAGACUUUACAGCACCACAACAAUAAUUUUCGCAUAAUUUUUUAAAAUAUUCCCAACAAUUAUGGAGCACUUGUGUUGUGCAAAUUUUAUUGUACUCACAAGCGUACGAAUCUAUAUUAAUAUAGAUUAAUGGUGAUGAGUGUUGAUUCCAUGAAGAGCUGGAUUUAAUUAUGUGUAGGGUUAAUUUUCCAAGUUUGUUUGUGAGUCGGUUGGAUGUGAUUUAUUUAUCUUAAGAUUUAAAAUAAAAUGGCGGGAAUGAGUUAAAGAUGGAACAAUGUAAAUGAAGUGCUUCAGUCUCUAGAUUCACACUCAAUAUUUUACCAUAGGCUUAAUUUCCUUUUUAAAUCCAAUUAAUUUAUGAGAGGAUAUUUCCACUCCUCAUAAGCCUAAAUUUAAUAAAUGUGAUAUCAAGCACUCAUUGUGCCAAAGGAAAUAAUCUUCUGCUAAAUAUGGUGUCAACUACAUGUUGGUCAGGUGAUAACAAUCUUGUUGUCGAAAAUAUGACAAGACCGUCUACUAAAUAACUUAGAAAUAUUCUCUGUCAAUACUGACUCAAGAAGGACUAUAAAUACUAAAAGGGAGUUUUUUUAAAAUUAAUUAAUGUAAAGUGCUCAUCAUGCAAAAUAAUACUAAUUUUGCACUAGGGAACUGGUAUACUAGCGUAAAAUCUAGAUAAAAUUAUUAUUAUUUGUCAAUGGUGAGCCAAAAUAAUCCAAUUAUAUCUGAGAGAGGGUAAAUAAACUUAUUAAAUUAAGCCAAUGGAUUAUGUACGGAUUUACCUUCAACUCACGCUUGAGAACUAAUUAGUUACUCAUUUUUUUAAUUAGAGGCAAAAUGGAAAUUUUAUUAAAAUAUGUAGAAAAUAUAAAAUAGAAAGGGAAUCACAAAAAAUAGAGUUAAAAAUGAAUCCAAGGGUGUCAAGUUAAGGGGAGCCCCCUGUUUAUAGAUAUGGUAAAUAAAUCAUGCCCAUUGGAUGAAAAUAAUUUGAGACGCUUAGGAUUGCACAAUAUGGCAAGCUUUGAUUGGAUAGAACACAUUAUCAGGGCUAUUAUUCCGUGUAUGUGCACAUAUCGUUCGCGCAUUUUUUGGUCCACUAAUAUGUUGUCACAUUAGCAACCAACACAAAAGUCAACUUUUUGGUCCAAUAAUGUUCUGCCACAUCAUUGAUCAACUCUUCAUCAUCACUCAUGCGACAUCAUCGGUCCAAUAAAAUACUGUCACAUCAUUAGUCAAUGCCACAUCAGUUGGGCCUGGCCAAACUUAUAAAAUUAUAGUGCUGUUCACGGAUACGGUACUGUUUAUAUAUAAAGAGGUACUGUUCGUGUAUGAUUUUGCCCUUUAUGUCCUUCCUGAGUUUUUUAGCUAUUCUGAACUCAAAAAUACUGUCUGUUUUACUAUCCAAUUUCUUGUGAAUCAUGAAAUAACCAAAUUACCCAUGAAAUACAUUAAAUACUCAAAUUAUAACAAAAUUCACACAAUCAAAGUUCAAAGGACUUAAAUACAUAAAAGUAGAAAUGUUAGAUUGACAAUUUUACUCUUUUAUAAAUAUGCAUUCUCCAGUACUCAACAACUUGUUUGAUUGACAUAAAACCCAUAAAAAUUGUAGGCAUUGGCAAGAAGAGACCUCAAGAUCAAACAAAAGUCAAAUACGAGUCCCGAGUGAGGUUUUGCACCCAUUUGGGCCUAUAACUAAGGUCUAUAGCACAUGGUUGUAGACCAUUUUAAAGAUGGGAUGUAUUCGCUGAUCAAGAGGUCGGCAGUUGAACUUUGAGUUGAUUUUUUGCAUGCAUGUAGAUAUUGGUAGGACAAGGCCAUAAGAUCAAACAUGAGUUAAAUCCCAGUGCCAAGUGAGGUUUUAUGAGUUCAUUACAAGACCACAUGAAUAAUUUUAGUAUAAUUAGUUUAAAAAAAGAACUUGUUGGGUUGAUGCAUAACUUUUUGCAGGCACAGAAAUUGGCGAAAUGAGACUGCAAGAUCAAAAAAUAGUUGACUCUAAGGCAUAGAUGAGGUUUUAUGCCCAUUUAGGCAUAUAAUCGAAGGGUAUAGCACUUGUUUCUAGGUAGUUUAAAUGUGUAUUCGACAUUGAAGGUACUGGGCAUUGAAUUUCGUGUUAACUUUUUGCAUGCCUUUGACAUUAGUGAGAAGACAUCGCCAAAUCAAACAAGAGCCGAUUAUGAUGCCUUGGUGAAGUUUUACGAGGUCAUUACAAAACAACAUGGAUAAUUUUCUCAUAAUUUUCAAAAUCAAUUCCCAAAAAUUAUGGAGAACCUAUUACAUUGAUAUAAAACUCUUUAGAAGGCAUGUAUCUAGAUAUAAACCUAUCACAACAUUAAAUGAAAGUCGAUUCAAGGCUCAAGUGACGUUUUACGCCAUUCAAGCCUAGAACCAAAGGCUAUAGCACAUGGUUUUAGAUUUUUCUAUGCGCAUAUUCGCUAUUGAAGAGGUUAAGUGUUGAAUUUAAAGCUAAUGGCAAGAUGAGAACACAAUAUGAAAUAAGAGUCAAUUCCUUAGCCUAAGUGAGGUUUUACAAGGUUGUUCUGAGAUGUUUGGAGAGCACAAGAAUGAUUUUCACAAAUCUUCUAAAACAUUCAUAACAAAAUAAAGAAAACUUAUCGAAUUAAUGCAAAACUCUUUGGCCGAUGUAGAAAUUGGUAAGCAAGGCCAUCAAAUGAAUAAGGCAUAAAAUUUUGUGUUAUGACAUUAGAUUAAAGGUCGAAAUGAGUGCAAAAUCUCACGCAGGCACCAAAAUUGAUUCUUAGUUGUUUCACCGAUGUCUAUAUGCAUGUAAAAAAUAAGCUCGAAAUUAAAAUCCUUAUCCCUUCAUUAGUGAAUUUCGCUCUAAAAAAGGCACUAAACUUGUGCUAAAAAAUUUAAUAAAAUGCUUGAAAUAGUUGAUUUUGUCAAAAUUUAGAUCAAAAUUUCAUCUGAUCUUUAAAUAAAUAGCACUUUGCCUAUCAUAGAAGGCUGUUACUGAAGAUUGAUAAUACACUAUUCAUUCAAUAAGUGUUUAACCAUAUAGUUUCCUUAAAAGCCUCUGUAGCAAUUGUAUGCUCAGCCUUUGUUGUUGACAAUGCCACAAUACUCUGCAGUGCUGUUUUCCAGCUGAUAGUAUAAUUAUCGACAAUGAACAAGUAACUUGCAAGGGACCUUCUAUUGUUAAGAUAUUCGGCAUAAUCAGAGUACACAUAACCCAGCAUCAAGCUAUUGUUUUGUCUCUCACCUCCAUACAAUAAACUAUAGCUAGAUGUUCUCCCUUUAGAUGCCUAAGUUACUAUUUUAUAGCUCUCCAAUGCUCUUUGCCAAGAUUAGCCAUAAACCUACUCACAACACUGGUAGCAUAUGAAAUGUCUGGCCUAGUUAACUCGAUUGCAUACAUUAAGUAGCCAACAACACUAGCAUAAGUACUUUUGACAUUUAUGAUUGCUCAAGAUUAAUAUUUGGACACUGUUGAUUCUAUAAUCUGAAAUAUGCAGCCAAAGGUGUUUACACUGACUUGUUGUUUAACAUCCCAAAUUUUUCUAAGACUGUGAUAAUAUUUAUUUCUUGAGAAAUAAACAAAGUCUUGGCUUUUUUGUCCCUAAUCAACCAUUCCACAUAUCCUUUUUACAGAACCAAGGUAUUUUAAUCAAACUCAUUAUGUAGCUGCCACUUCAAUAUUUCUAUCUGAUUGAUGUAUGUAUAAGCCAAAAGCUUGUCAUCAACAUAUAGAAUGAGAUACAUCAUUUCAUCCUCGUUAACCUUUCUUAAUUAUGCACAACAAUCAUAAUUGUAUCUAUGAAAAUGCAACUUCUGCAUAUGGCUGUCAAAUUUGCCAUAAAGGGAUUUCUUCAAUAAACAAACCCAAUCUAAAUUCUUAAGGUCAAAAAGUCUUCAAGUUGUGACAUUACAAUUUCUUCUUGAAGCUUCUCUUGUAAGAAAGCAAUUUUGAAAUCCAUCUGUUGAAGAUGCAUGCCAUUGACAGCAACAAGUGAUAAGAUUAUUCUAAUUGAGACAUGUUGUAUGAAGAGAAUACUUCAGUGAAAUCAAUCAUUUCUUUUUGCAUGAAUGCUUAGGCAAUCAGCCUAGAUUUGAACCUUCUUCAUUCAACACCAAGAAUACCUUCUUUGAUCAUGAAAAUCCAUUUGCAGCCUACUAUCUUCUUACUUUCUAGUUUCUGAAUAAACUCCUAAGUUUCAUUCUUAUAAAGAGAUUUCAUGUCAUCAUACAUAGCCUAAAUGUGCUCAAUUGAAUUUUGAAUUGCAACAACUUCUGCAUAAAUUUUUAAUUCUUUAUAAUCUAAUUCAUAUGCUACUUGUGGAGGUAUACGUUAUUAAGUCAGCAUAUUCCAAUCUCUUAAGUGCCUUCACUGUCCUCUUCUAUUUAUCCCCGCUGAGUUAAUAUUCUUGAAUGGAAAUUUGUCUUGAUAUUGGGUUAGUAGCCUUAUAUUUUGUUAAUCAUCAAAUUCAUUAUGAUCUUUGUCAUGAACAUCCUUAAUUCAAGAUAAUUCCACUCAAAAUGAGAUUCAUCAAGUUUUGGAAUUGUUAUACAUCUACUUGUGUAGCAACUUGAUCCUUCAGCAUUUCAGUUUCAUUGAAGACCACAUCCCUACCAAUUAUGCACUUGUGUGGCUUCAUAAUAGUACAACAAAUCUUAUAAGUCUUGACCCCAUCAAAAUACCUCAAGAAGGCACAUUUCAAGUCUUUAGGUUUAAGUUUGCCAAGUCUCUAGGUUUAAGUUUGCCUUGUUUUAAGUGUGUAUAAACAGGACACCAAAACUUUUGCAAACUUCUCUAACCAUAUCUCACAAGGAGUUUUGAAAUGUAAAAUAGUUUAGGGACUUCUAUUAACGAGAUAACAUGUUGUGUUUAAAUCUUUAGCCCACAAUGCCUUAGGUUGCUUCAAAUGAAUUAACAUGCACCUAACUUUUUCCAUUAGAGUUGCAUUCAUUCUUUCAGCCAAACCAUUUUGCUCAUAUGUAAGCCUACUGUCUUAUGCCUAAGAAUAUCAUUUUUGUCAAAAAAAAUCAUCAAAUUGACUGUUACGAUCUCCAAACCAUUGUCAAUUCUAAGUCCUCUGACUUUUCUAUUUGUUUGAGUUUUGAUCGAAACUUUCUAGUUAUUAAAAGUAUCAAAGGCUUGAUCUUUGCUUAUUAAAGGAUAAACCAAAUCAUCCUAAAAAAGUCUAUCAACUAAAGAUAGAAGUACUUAGCUCCACCUAAAUACUCUGUAUUUUCUAUUUGUUUGAGUUUCGAUCAAAACUUUUCAAUAAUUAAAAUUAUCAAAGCUUGAUCUUUGCUUCUUAAAGGAUAAACCUAAACCAUCCUAGAAAAGUCAUCAACUAAAGAUAAAAAGUACUUAGCUCCACCUAAAGAUCUGCUUGUGAAUGUAUAUAAUCAUUUUUUUCGUAUGCAUUACAGUCUUGAAACUAGCUCUUGAGGACUUUCGUAGCACACAUUCCUCACAAAACUCCAAAAUAUUUACCUUAUCAUUAUCUAGAGCUCUUUGUUUUUCUAAUUCUUUCAGCCCCUUUUUCACUUAUGUGACCCAACCUCAGAUGUCACAAUUACGGGUGGGCAUGGGUUGGUUUGGAUUGAGUUUUAAGUUAAUCCAAACCAAAUCAUAAAAGUUUUGACCCAUCCUAAAUUAGCCCAAAUAUUUUUAACCCAACCCAAACUAACUCAUUUGGGUUUAGUUUGAAUUUUAUAAUUAAAAUAUUUUUUAUUUUGAUAAACUUAAUUAUAUCAAAAUUAUAAUAAUUAUUAAUUAUUAAUUUAAUAUUAAAAUAUGAAAAAUAUUGUGGAUAAAAAACUAAAAGAAAGAAUUAAAUUAAGCUCUAAUAAUAAACUUCCACAAACAUGACAUCGACAAAUAAAUUAAAAGAAAAAAAAAACUAGUAGUACUAACCAUAUUACAAUACAAACUAUAAUAAUGUCAAUACAAAUCAAAACAAGAUAAAACAUCUUAAUUCAAGUAUCAAAGCAAUCCAUCAUAAUCACUCCUAUCCGCAGUACUUUAAUAAAACAAUUCGAUGAUCAACUGAGUCUGCUCCUUCACCAACAAAUAAAUAAUAAAAAAUUAUAAUGUUGAAAAGUUAUAAAGAUGAUUCAUACCAAAAUCAUAAGAAUAAUAUCAAUUCAAAGCCAUCGUCUCCGUUGUUGUAUUUGAUCCAAACUCUACAUUAAAUAAAAAAUAAAUUUUUUAACUUGUUAUGAUAAACAGUUACCUGACAUCAUGGCUUUAUAAAACUCGAGCUCCUCCAUUAUUGGUUCAUCUUGUAAUGAGACAACAGAGUUACGUAACCAAUUUUGUGAGCAUAUCAAAGCUUCCACCAUCUUCGGACUUAAAGAAUUGAAGUGAAGUCACUAAUUUAAUUAGAUCAUAGAUAAUAAAUAAAAACAAAUGUUAAGUAAAUCAUAAACCAAAAUUGAACUAAUGAAUAUUAGGUGUAAAUAAAAAAAUGAUAUAAAUAAGAGUCUCAUGAGUUGAAAAAAAAAUUCUUUAAAUAUUGUCUCAUCUAAACACGUGUGAAAUAAAGUUAUUAAUCUUAUGUUUUUAGGAUUAAAUUUAAAUUUACCCCCAUUAAUCCAAUCCAAUUAAGCUUGCCAAACAUGAGAUAAAUAUUUUUACCCAAAAUUAAUUAAUUUAUUAUGAGUAAUCAUAGCUUCAAGAAAUGGCUUUAUAGUGAUGUGUACCUGAGUACUUUAACGUUAUUUAGUAACAAUUUGCCGUUCACACUUGACAACUAGUGUUGUAUUAGUGAUAAUAUACAUAAAUAUUACUUUGAACGGUCUAAUAUUUUCAAUGUUGAUGUAUGUAUCUGAACAAAAAAUUUCUUUCAAUAAAACUUAUUAUGUAGUUUAUAAUUUUUCUUUGUUUCCUAUGCACUGCGUGUUAUUCUUCUUUUUAGAUGCGUAGGUUUGACUAGUAGUGUGGCCGAAAAGUUAAGUUCAUAUAUAAUUCGCAUACCAAAAUUUAUGGUAUAAUGAACCAGUACACACAUAAUAUUUCAUGCUCGUGAAAACAUGAGGGAGAGAUUACAUCCAUUUUAUUUCCAUAUUUUAUAUUAUCUGCCAAUUUCUCUCCAAUGUAAGUAGCAUUGUUAUACAUGAAUAGCAAAUAUUUGACUACAAGAGAAGAAAAAUAGAGUUCAAACCAAACUAUUGUAUCAACAACAUUAACCUCAACCAUUGAAUCAAUUAUGAUUUAAAGGCUAGGAUUUUGUCUUCCUCUCUUACACCAUGAAUGAAUAGCAGGAUGAUUGUCGUAUUGAUUGAAGCACAAAUAAAUAAACUCUAUUGAAAAUACAUGUAUAGUAGCGAAUAUUGCCUGUGGUGUCAUACAAUAUUCUUUGUGGGUAUAUUAUUGAUUUUAUUUAAAUUAUGAGAGGAUCACAAUUUUUAAAAAAUAAAUAAAGAAAAGGGUUGCAAUUGAGGAAGCAAUAGCCUUCAGUUUGGCCUCCUAAUUUUCUAGUAUUUGGCUGAUGCAUAGGAACAAAUUAACGCAAUUGGCAACCACUUAUUCUUUGGAAAAACAAUAAAAAUAAAUUAAUUAAUUAACAAGGCAAUCCCUAAUAGAAUUCCACUGAACUUAGCUGAACCUAUUUGUCUUUUCUGUGCAAUAAACAUAUGCCGGAGGAGUUGAUGAAAGUGGAGAAUGAGAUAUGAAAUUGUCAAUAACCAGCAUAAUUUCAGGAAUUUAAAAGCAAACCAGUACCUGUUCACUGGUUUCAAACGUUAGUUCGCUUUCUCCGGCAUUGGAGCAAUGCAGGUAAAGACUCCCUUCUGCUCAAGGGCAGCUAUUACUUUGAACAUUUCCAUGCUCUUUACACGGACUUGAUGAUUCUGCGAUAUCUGAAGAGGUAAAAUAUUUGCAAAUAGCAUCGGCAACCACAUUGAAAAUAUAAUGCCAUUUGGGAAAAGGAAAGCAAGAACAUAUUAAACAACUGGACCUAUGUUUUCAUGAUUUUAUAUAUUAGUAAUCAGAAAUUUUUCAUACGAGCAUGUAACCAAUGAAAAUUUUUAAAGAAUGAUAGCAUUGAAGGAAGUACUACUAAAUGUAACACAUUUCAAAUUGCAUAUUUCUUACUCUUUGAACGCUUCCAGCAUCUCGAGCAUCAUUGACAUCAUCAUCCUGUAUGCAGUUGGACCAAAGAAAUGUUAGAAUCUAUAUCCAUACUGUAGAGAAAAAAAAAUCUUAACUCAUAAAAUUUCUUUAGACGAAAAUACACGUGAAAGUUUGUGAUUUCUUAUCAGAAAAAUCUAUGUGGACAAAACUUGUUUAGUAAGAAAAAAGUAAUCAACUACAUUGUCAGAGAAAGUAGGGAAGAAAACAAAAAAUAUGUCAGCUGCUGAAUUCUUAUCAAGGAUUACUGGUGAUUUUCCUACAAAUUCGUUUAAGAGAUGAUCAAUACCAAAAAUAAUAAUAAUAAUAAUAAUACAAAAAAUUUUAAUGUUCUUUAGGCGAAUCAAUUAGGAUUUGAUUAUUAUGUUUAAAUUUGGCACCAUCUAUUUUUUCUCCUCCACCACAAUCACCAUCUGACAAAUCCCACCUCUGUUACAUAAUUAACGAGGCAGGCCUUGCUCCAGCGGGCUGCUGCAGAUGUAAAAGAUUUCAAGAUUUCAAUAUGGUACAUGCAUCUCCGAUACAAGGAUUGAGGAAGCAUAAUUUUUUAAAAACAUGAAUUAAAAGCAACAUGUCAUGGACAUUAAAGGUAACAAAAACCGAAACGGAUAUACAGUGUUAUAGUAUAGUGACCACAACUGUAAAGCCAAGUAACAGUAACGUAAGUAAUUAUUCUCCAAUGCUUAGGCUUUACCAACAUCUAUUUCUUCUAUCUCCACUCCUUUUUCAUGUGCAAAUUUCAGAACUGUUUACUUAUGAACAGCAUUAUCAGAAAGUUGAGAAUAAUGGAAAUCACAGCAGGUUAUGAACUCUGCAGCAUUAUCGUCUUAGAAGCAAAGGAUGACGGGAUUUCUUAAACCAUUAUCUGUAGACUCCGCAGCAUCUACAGUAUAAUCAAAAGUUGGCAUAGUAAAAUUACUGCUUUAAAAAACAAAAAAGGAUUAACGAAGUAAAGGCCGCAGCUUGAACAGUAUUAGAAACCCAUUUAAAAAUUGACAUAAAAAGUUAGCUUAAAACCUUCGCCAUCUAAAUCAGAGUAAGAAGAAUGCACGAACAUAAAGGAAGCAGUUUGAUUUUUACAGCAAAAUAUACCAAUGGCAGCAAAAAAAUACUUGCAAAUGAGAAGUAUGCAAAUGUAAAUCAGGAAAAGGAAGAAUUAUCUGGUAAAAAAAAAAAGAAGGAAAAAAAAAAGAGCUCCACGGCACAAGUCAAUCUAAUACUUGUAAUAAAAAUGCAGAGGCAUCCUUAAUCCUUUCACAGGGAACUCCAUGCCGAGAUAAAGUUAGCAUAAUGUAAACAUCAAAUUCAUCAGACAACAGGAGCAGAUGUACUCUUGUCCAGAGUUGAAAUCAAAUACAAAAUUAAACGGAGAAAAACGAAACAUACCCAGAGAAUUGGUGCCAUUUGUGUACCCAUAAUUCCAGUUCCUGCAAAAACAAAAUGACGAAGUAUAAAGAUAACUUGAGCUGAAUUGCUGGUUGCCCGAGAGGGGAGAAGGAAAUAGAGGAACAAUGAUUUUGUGGGGGAAAGAAUACGAAAUUAGGUGAUGGGAGAUGAAUGGGAACUGGAGAGAAUAAUAUGGUUUUGGGGGGAAGCUGAAAAAGUGUGCUUCAUUUGUGCGGGAAUAUGUGAGGAAAGGUCCCUUUUAUAGCAAGUUAAAAGAAACGGUGCGUUUCAGUGUCAUUGGCGCCCGGGGCACUGUUUGGAAAGGGUCGAAAUCUUUGAAAUGCGAUAACUUUGUGCUCGGAGGUCCGAUUGAGGUGUUUUGUUUUUUCAAACUGCAUAACUUUUCGAGACGAAUGCGGUGGUCAAGAUCCAAAGGAGCUUGGGGGGCUUUUUGAACCCUUAAUUUUACAUUUUUCUCAUGUUUUGACACAUUUUUUGUACCACGAACUUUUUAAACCUAAUUUUUUUUUACCCUAAGACGUUUUUAUUUUGAUUCGACCACAGAAAACAACAACUUAAAUAUCCAAUUACGAUGUGAAAUCAUUAAUUAUUUGUUUUAUUAUUAAUUUAUAUUUUACUUUUCCAUUUAAAUAAUAUUUGUGCCCAUAGUUACAAGAAUCCAUGGUGGCUCAGCGGUGGGUUUGAAACUUUAUUUGUGAUUUUGACCUCCAUGUAAAGGGUUCAAGCCGCAGCUAAAUCUUUGUAUCUUCUUUUCAAAUAUUAAGGCAACUUCCCGCGCAGGUAGCCUCCAAUGAACUGCGGGAAAGGGCAACGGGUAGGGGACAAGCAACCGAGUUUUUUUGGGGUAGAUUUUUUGCACAGACGCAGAGCAUGGGGAGACGGACUGAGCUGAUAAGCAUUGGACGCGGUCGCGAGCACGUCAGAGCGCGCGACGAGGGGCUGCCCGCUCGCGCGCGAGGCUGCGGAAGCCCGAGCAGGCCAUGCUUCACCCACUCGCGAGGAACAGGCACAGCUCGCCUGCGCGCGGCAGGCUGCGAGCAGCGCACGCUCGCGGGCAAGAUGCAGCCCCGGCUCACGCGGCAAGCUGCCCACGAUGGCGAGGCAAGCAGCGCGCGCUUGCGAGCAAGCCGCGCACGGCACCCUCGCGGGGCAGGCACAGCACCCUCGCUCGCCCAGGCUUGUUCGUGCCCAUCGGCACUUCCCUCGCAGGUGGCGAGUGGGAAGUGGCCAUGCCCCUUUCGGCGCUGCUGCUGCUGUUCCAUGGGGGCCGGAUGCUGCAGCUAGCUUCCGUCAUGCGAGAAACAAGCGUCCGACUUGUUUUGAAGGCCUAGAUUUUUUGCGUGGACGCAGAACAUGGGAUGGCGGGGUUAGGGAACAAUUUUUUUGCCGCUGGAAAACAGUUUUAAAAAUCGUCCAAAAUGGAGAAAAAACAGUUUUAAAAAUCGUCCAAAAUGGAGAAAGACAGUUUUAAAAAUCGUCCAAAAUGGAGAAACCAGGACACAAAAAAACUCGGAAGAAGUAGUAAACGGCACCGGAAUGGGCUGAAAUUUUAGGAGGUACCGUAUUAUCUCAUGGGACCAAAAAGUUAGCCUCAUGAAAAAACACAAGUCCGCUCCGAGGCCCGAGCCUCCUUUCGGAGCCAUCACACGAGUCUUUGUGCCAGAGUUAGCCUCAGGCAUUGCAGCAAGUGUGCUGCCUUUGUGCCAGCCACUUAGAUUUUGCCGAGAGUUAGCCUCGUGAAAAAACACAAGUCCACUCCGAGCCUUGGGCGGGGGCAGUCCGUGCGGGUGUGUGCGCCGCACGGGGCUAACCUCCGACGGGUUCCGAACAAGAGAAGACGGUGCGAGUGAGGGGGGAGGGACGA
rnacentral:lncRNA from 1 species